rfam:Cricetulus griseus cell line CHO-K1, whole genome shotgun sequence.
UGGCUCAGCAGUUAAGAGCACUGGUUGCUCUUCCAGAGGACCUGGGUUCAAGUCCCAG